rnacentral:pre_miRNA from 1 species
AAGCGAGGGGCACCUCAAGGACUGUCUAACCUGAGAAUGGUGAAACAUAAAGGUCAAUCUCAGGUUCGUCAGCCCAUGAGAUACCUUCUCCAG